rnacentral:rRNA from 1 species
GAAUUCGAUUCAGGCCUAACACAUGCAAGUCGAGCGGUUGAGGUAGCUUGCUACCGAUGCAGAAAAAGACGGGUGAGUAAUACAUGGGAAUCUGCCUGGUAGUGGGGGACAACGUUUCGAAAGGAACGCUAAUACCGCAUACGCCCUACGGGGGAAAGGGGGGGAUCUUCGGACCUCUCGCUAUCAGAUGAGCCCAUGUCGGAUUAGCUUGUUGGUGAGGUAAAGGCUCACCAAGGCGACGAUCCGUAACUGGUCUGAGAGGAUGAUCAGUCACACUGGAUUUGAGGGACGGUCCAGACUCCUACGGGAGGCAGCAGUGGGGAAUAUUGGCCAAUGGGCGCAAGCCUGAUC